AAUAUAGACUUCCAUAAAACUCUCAAACCAAGCUAGGGUAGGUCGAAACAUUAAGAGAUACAAAAACUCCCAUCCUUACUCCUUAAUCUUCCACCUAAUCAUGAAAUUUUCCUUCUCAAAGAACCCAAAAUCAAUCUUGUAGCUAGUGGUCACCACAUAUGUGGCAAGAGGGACUAUGGACAGAGGAGAUAGAGGCGGC
rnacentral:lncRNA from 1 species